rnacentral:lncRNA from 1 species
UCGUGGUAGCGUUUUAAGGAAAAAGAUUUUCGUGGAUUCAUGAUUAAAAUCUAAAUGUAAAUCUGUUGUGAAUGGUGUAGGAAUGUAUGAAUGUUUGUAUAUUCAUUAUCGUGGUUGUAUCCUGGUUAUACGUCUUGUACUUGUACGACGCCGUGCAAAUACAGGGGAGACUCUGUCCGUGUGAACAGUGGACUCCCUAUAUUUGUGGCCGAUCUGGCAUAUCUUGGGGUCAGGUUUUCAAAAAAAAAAAAUU